AUCAUGGUUGGUAAAGGGUGCGGGAGAAAUCCUCGUUCUCCCCGCAGAAAUACUGACAUUCUAUCGGACAUGGUUCUUUCAUAAACUAGGUCUAUAUGUCCUAAAACAAAACGCAGUUAUUUUGCAGUAAUUCCGGAAUAUACACUACUAUCGUGCGUAUCAUCUGUUAUGGAUACAGAGACAUUGUAAUUUUCUUCUGGCACAAUCUGCCCCUCAAGGAAGUUAUCAUGGUUCAUUCCAGCCCACUGGAGCUAAUAGAAGCAGAGAGAUGGAGAUGAUUGUGUCCUGCUAGAGCCUUCUUGCUAAUGUAGCCUCCAUGUACUACUCUGUCUACUAAGAGGUUCAGACUUUUAUGGCACAGGUGGUAGUGCACUUACCUCGCAACCAUAGUGUUGCUGGUUCAAGCUCUGAGUGUCAGAGGUGGGUUUUCUGAGAUAUUUUUUGAUUGUUUAUUUAACUUUUGUUUAUUAUCUAUUUGACUUUCUUUGGCAAUGUAAACAUAUUUUUCCCAUGCCAAUAAAGCCCUUUGAAUUGAA